CCUACGGGUGGCUGCAGUGGGGAAUAUUGCACAAUGGGGGAAACCCUGAUGCAGCGACGCCGCGUGAGUGAAGAAGUAUUUCGGUAUGUAAAGCUCUAUCAGCAGGGAAGAAAAUGACGGUACCUGAUUAAGAAGCCCCGGCUAACUACGUGCCAGCAGCCGCGGUAAAAAGUAGGGGGCAAGCGUUAUCCGGAUUUACUGGGUGUAAAGGGAGCGUAGACGGCAGCACAAGUCUGGAGUGAAAUGCCGGGGCUUAACCCCGGAAGUGCCGUGGAAACUGUGUAGCUAGAGUGCAGGAGAGGUAAGUGGAAUGCCUGGUGUAGCGGUGAAAUGCGUAGAUAUUAGGAGGAACACCAGUGGCGAAGGCGGCUUACUGGAGCGCAACUGACGUUGAGGCUCGAAAGCGUGGGGAGCAAACAGGAUUAGAUACCCCGGUAGUC
rnacentral:rRNA from 1 species